AUCUUAUAGCAUAUAGCAGGAGUUUAAUAAACAAUUGUUUAAAAAAAAAAAAAAAGAAGCAGGUCUCCUUGGAAGAAUGGCUGACUCCAAGGCUGGGGCAGAGAAGGCGUAAGGUCCUGUCAUGAGAUGAUACAGCAAGGAGGCCCUCACCACAUGCCAGCCCCCUUGAUCUUGGACUACCCAGCCUCCAAAACUACUCCUGCAAGAUGAGUAGUCAGUGACUUCCUGAGUAGAAAUCAGAUGACCUACAAUGGUUUUAAAAACAGAGAACAGAAGAGUAAAGCUGAAAAAUACUUUGUCACUGGCCAGGUACUCCCUUUAGAAGUAGGUCACCUGCCUGUGGUCCCAGCUACUUGGGAAGCUGAGGCGGGAGGCUCGCCUGAGUCCAGAAAGUCAAGGCUGCAGAGAGCCAUGUUCACUGCACUCCAGCAUGGGUGACAGAGGGAGACCCUGUCUCAAAAAAAAAA
rnacentral:antisense_RNA from 1 species